rnacentral:sRNA from 1 species
UCUCCAGCGUAGAGUUCCACCCGCAAUGCGUCACGAAACAACCUAUCGAUCUAUGAUUCAAAACCCUAAA